UACGAGGGGGGGCUAAUGUUGUUCGGAAUCACUGGGCGUAAAGGGAGCGUAGGCGGGUGUUUAAGUUAGGUGUUUAAUCCCAGGGCCCAACCCUGGUCAGGCACCUAAAACUGGACAUCUUGAAUAGUGGAGAGGACGAUGGAAUUGGGGGUGUAGCGGUGGAAUGCGUAGAGAUCCCCAAGAACACCAGUUGCGAAGGCGGUCGUCUGGACACAUAUUGACGCUGAGGCUCGAAAGCAUGGGGAGCAAACAGG
rnacentral:rRNA from 1 species